rnacentral:sRNA from 1 species
GGCCUCCCCCUUUGUGAACAAUCUUGUUGCUUCGGGGGCGACCUGCCGCUUCGGGUGCGGGCCCCAUCAAACACUGCAUCAUUGCGUCGGAGUCAAAGUAAAUGAAACAAAACUUUCAACAACGGAUCUCUUGGUUCCAGCAUCGAUGAAGAACGCAGCGAAAUGCGAUAAGUAAUGUGAAUUGCAGAAUUCAGUGAAUCAUCGAAUCUUUGAACGCACAUUGCGCCCUCUGGUAUUCCGGGGGGCAUGCCUGUUCGAGCGUCAUUUCACCACUCAAGCCUGGCUUGGUAUUGGGCGUCGCGGCACCGCGCGCCUUAAAGUCUUCCGGCUGAGCUGUCCGUCUCUAAGCGUUGUGGCAACUAUUCGCUUCGGAGGCCGGAUGCCGCGGCCGUUAAAUCUUUCACAAGG